rnacentral:lncRNA from 1 species
CUUAUCUAGGUGCCAGGGGAUUUACAAAGCCCGUGUUUUACCAUGAUUUUGACAAACGAUUGUUCAUUGGUUCUAAAUUCUUCAUUCAGGAGUGCAUCUGAUUCAGUCGGAAGUUGGAAAAGGGCACGAGAAAUUGGCAAAAGUAUACUCAAUGACAGCCUGAUCAAUUUUUCCACUUCUUUUGCCAUGUUACAGUGAUAUACUCUCCUUUAAUCAGUUUUCCUCUGGAGCUACAAUUUGUCAAUCCCCUCUUCAAUCGCUAAGUUGAGUACAAAUGAAAGUGUUGAUUUGAUUGGUGAUUAUUUUGUCUAAUAUCCAAUGGAACCCUGAUUGCCCAAUAAUUG